rnacentral:rRNA from 1 species
AUGUAUUUUGGUUAUUUCUUUGCGUGCUGGUACGUAUACGUGUACGUGCGUAGACGUGAAGAGAGCCAAAAGAAUGGCUCUCCGGCCGUCUGGUCUCGUGAGGACAAAAGCAGGAGUCACCUGCUGCUGCUGCUUCCUCUUCCUAGAUUCUGGCGUAGACGCCCACGAGUCGCUCACGCCCACCACGUGCCGCAUCAUGCACUGCGCUGCGCGGCGCGAUCCGACGAAAUAUCUACGCUAUGCAUUAUUCAUUUUGGCCCAUCAAAGUCAACACAAACACUCUCAAGUCAAACAUAA